rnacentral:misc_RNA from 1 species
GAUGAAGAACCUAGCGAAAUGCGAUAAGUAAUGUGAAUUGCAGAAUUCAGUGAAUCAUCGAAUCUUUGAACGCACAUUGCGCCCGCCAGUAUUCUGGCGGGCAUGCCUGUUCGAGCGUCAUUUCAACCAUCAAGCCCCCGGCUUGUGUUGGGGACCUGCGGCUGCCGCAGGCCCUGAAAACCAGUGGCGGGCUCGCUAGUCACUCCGAGCGUAGUAAUACAUCUCGCUCAGGGCGUGCUGCGGGUUCCGGCCGUUAAAAAGCCUUAUUUACCCAAGGUUGACCUCGGAUCAGGUAGGAAGACCCGCUGAACUUAAGCAUAUCAAUAAGCGGAGGA